rnacentral:rRNA from 1 species
GACGAACGCUGGCGGCGUGCCUAAUACAUGCAAGUCGAGCGAACCAAUAAGAAGCUUGCUUUUUGUUGGCUAGCGGCGGACGGGUGAGUAACACGUGGGUAACCUGCCUGUAAGACCGGGAUAACUCCGGGAAACCGGUGCUAAUACCGGAUAGAUUAUCUUUCCGCCUGGAGAGAUAAGGAAAGAUGGCUUUUGCCAUCACUUACAGAUGGGCCCGCGGCGCAUUAGCUAGUUGGUGAGGUAACGGCUCACCAAGGCGACGAUGCGUAGCCGACCUGAGAGGGUGAUCGGCCACACUGGGACUGAGACACGGCCCAGACUCCUACGGGAGGCAGCAGUAGGGAAUCUUCCGCAAUGGACGAAAGUCUGACGGAGCAACGCCGCGUGGA